rnacentral:lncRNA from 1 species
GCGUAAAUGAGUUUGGGGCUGCGGCUUUCAUUGAAGUGUUCGGGCUGCAGGCCCCGGGGGUCUGACGCCACUUAAGUGCUCCAAUUGUUAACCUCAUGAGUUUUCAACCAUUUUCCUCCCUCUCCCGAAUCUCAUAUGAAACUCAUUUCCCAAGGAAAGCACCAAGGGCCUCUGACCUCCUGCCUCGAUGGCUGAAAGCUUCCAGUUCUUUUUCUGGGCCUGCUACACUUGAUGACAGAAGGUGAACUGAACUUCAAAAGGCAGCAGGCCGCGUCUUCUUACCCCCAGCCUAGCCCGCUUCCUCUCCUUUGUCUGACUCGCUGGGAAUUCAGCUACUCCUCAGCUGUGCUCCUAGAAGAAAACGCAAAGCCUGAGGAUUCUCAGAUAUUCUCCAAACAAGACCACAUUGUUCUGUGGAAGAGGUUCUGAAUCCAGCUCUACCAUGCGUUGAUUGCAUAGCCUCACCUGGUCCUGGGAAAGGAGGGUGGUAUGGGGAGAAAAUGCCGCCGACGCUGCUAACACGCUUUCCCCACGAGGAGAAUUUGCAGUGUAAAGGGAUGCCGAGGAGCACACACACUCGCUGCCGGCCGACCUGCUUCUGCUUCUGGGAACACGACCUACACAUCCUUGCUGUUGGCUUGGUGAGUCCCACUCCUCUGACUG